AGGACGAACGCUGGCGGCGCGCCUAACACAUGCAAGUCGAGCGUGAAACCCGGGCUUGCCCGGGCGGAAAGCGGCGAACGGGUGCGUAACGCGUGAGCAACCUGCCCCGAAGACUGGGAUAACCCGAGGAAACUCGGGCUAAUACCGGAUGCCCUCACCGAGUCGCAUGGCUUGGUGAGGGAAAUGGAUUCCGCUUCGGGAUGGGCUCGCGGUCUAUCAGCUUGUUGGUGGGGUAACGCCUACCAAGGCGACGACGGAUAGCUGGUCUGAGAGGACGAUCAGCCACACUGGGACUGAGACACGGCCCAGACUCCUACGGGAGGCAGCAGUGGGAAUCUGCGCAAUGGGGGAAACCCUGACGCAGCGACGCCGCGUGCGGAUGAACGGCCGUUCGGGUCGUAAACCGCUUUACGAGCGAGGGACGAAAUUCGAACGUACCUGCGAAGAACGAACGGCCCGGACCAACGUACGUGCCAGCACGCCGACGGU
rnacentral:rRNA from 1 species